AGCGAACGCUGGCGGCAGGCCUAACACAUGCAAGUCGAACGAACCCUUCGGGGUUAGUGGCGGACGGGUGAGUAACACGUGGGAACGUGCCUUUAGGUUCGGAAUAACUCAGGGAAACUUGUGCUAAUACCGAAUGUGCCCUUCGGGGGAAAGAUUUAUCGCCUUUAGAGCGGCCCGCGUCUGAUUAGCUAGUUGGUGAGGUAAUGGCUCACCAAGGCCACGAUCAGUAGCUGGUCUGAGAGGAUGACCAGCCACAUUGGGACUGAGACACGGCCCAAACUCCUACGGGAGGCAGCAGUGGGGAAUCUUGCGCAAUGGGCGAAAGCCUGACGCAGCCAUGCCGCGUGGAUGAUGAAGGUCUUAGGAUUGUAAAAUCCUUUCACCGGUGAAGAUAAUGACUGUAGCCGGAGAAGAAGCCCCGGCUAACUUCGUGCCAGCCGCCGCGAUAAGAC
rnacentral:rRNA from 1 species